UACGGGGGAUGCAAGCGUUGUUCGGAAUAACUGGGCGUAAAGGAUGCGUAGGCGGUUAAACAAGUUAUAUGUUAAAUAUAUAGGCUUAACCUGUAGAAAGCAUAUAAAACUGUUUAACUAGAGUGCAGGAGAGGUAAGUGGAAUUCCUAGUGUAGCGGUGAAAUGCGUAGAGAUUAGGAAGAACACCAGUGGCGAAGGCGACUUACUGGACUGUAACUGACGCUGAGGCAUGAGAGCAUGGGGAGCAAACAGG
rnacentral:rRNA from 1 species